AACAAGCACGAGUGUGGUGGAGCUCAUGGAGCCUCCCCUUAGCCCCGCUGUCCUACUGCUGGAUU
ensembl:miRNA